UGGCGGACGGGUGAGUAACGCGUGGGUAACCUGCCUCAUACAGGGGGAUAACAGUUAGAAAUGACUGCUAAUACCGCAUAAGACCACAGUACCGCAUGGUACAGGGGUAAGAACUCCGGUGGUAUGAGAUGGACCCGCGUCUGAUUAGGUAGUUGGUGGGGUAACGGCCUACCAAGCCGACGAUCAGUAGCCGACCUGAGAGGGUGACCGGCCACAUUGGGACUGAGACACGGCCCAA
rnacentral:rRNA from 1 species